CCAGGUAAGGAGCCUGCGCUGGCUGCCCGGCAGGCGGAGAAGGAAGGAGGAAGAGCGGAGGCCAGGGCGGGCUCUAGGCCGUGGAAUCUGGGGCCUUAAAGCCCCUUCGUCUCCCCAGCACCCACUCUCUGGGGGCAGGUGGGCCCGGUGACAGUAACCUUCAGGGAGCCCUGAAGACCAUGGAGGACUACUGACCAACAACCUCUGACCUUCACCCCUCUGGAUGGGGGACGAAUCACUAGGCAAAGGGGAACAAUGGGAAGGAGACAAAAUGGCUGCCUUUACAGCUGCAGCAAGAUGUGGAAACACUGGUUCCCUAGGCACCUCCAUUGUCUUCCCGCCUUGGGAGCAUGAAAUAAAUAAAGUGUGAAGGGGAACAUGAGGAAGACUGAUCCAAGUCACUUGACCUGUCUUUUGUCUAGUUGUUUAUCUCAUCUUAGCCUCCCAGCAACUCAGGAUUGGGGCUGCGACGUCUGCUUUGUCUUUCAUGAUACUCAACCCCAAGCAGAGAAAAAUAUCUUAAAAAUCGAAGCAGAUUAACCCAGUCCCUCUGUUCAGAUCCACCUGCUGCCCUAUCUGCAUUUGGCAGUUCCUGGACAUACUUUGCACCUAUGUUUUGUCUGAGUUCCACAUCUUCCUUGUCUCCCCGCAGGGAUGGGAAAUGGGCAGUAGUGGGAGAUUCAGGUAUAAACGGUGGCUCUGUUUCUCUGGUGCCUGAGAUUCGGGAAGGCCUGUCUUGGGAAGAUAAGUGUCAGCUUAUCUGUGGACUGAACAGACAGGCACCUGUUCUGUUGGCCCCGGAACUGCGGGCAUGAAAAGCCCACCUCCCCAGGGGAGGCCUGUUAGCUAGCAGCUCCUCACGCCUGGUGACUGAGAAAUGGAGUCUGGGGGGCCUACAGCAGGCCACGCGAUCCACUGGGCUUCUGGGCACAGAAGUGCCUCAACAGGCACAGGCAGGCUCCCCACAGCCACAAGGAACCCUGCUGCCAAGGAAGCAGCUCCUGUUGGGGUCAUCAGAUUUUUAAUCUGGCUCAGCAAAGCCAUGGCUGUCCAGCCUUAAAAAAAUGGGUGAUGUGGGAGAAAUGGAGGGUGUGUGAAGAGCACAGCUGGGCCUCGAGAACUCAGGGCCAGCCUUCCCAGCUUGGGUCCUGUUUCGGAGCCCAGGCCUUGCUUCCCCUUAGCCGCCCCAGCCAGAUUCUUUUGCGCCCCCUGCUGGCACACACAAAGACAGACCCAGGAGCGCACAUGUGAACGUGCGCAUGCUUGCUGCCAGUUACCCAGUUCAUGAACACGUGAAGCCUUGAC
rnacentral:lncRNA from 1 species